AUCAGUUACUUUUAUGAUACUAAAGGUUUUGACAGUUACUUCAAUAUAAUUUCAAUUUAUUGCUGUUGACGGUGGGGAUUGGACGGCUUUGGACACGAACCGACACGAACAACCAUGGAAACCACCACCUUUCUCGUCCUGUUUUGGACACUCGCACUCGCUAACACAUCACCCUCGGCCAACCACGGUACACCGGAGGAAACCGCAUCUUUGCCCGAGACAACUGGAGAUAAAGCUCGCAACAUCCGAGACGUCGCCGGAACUCGAAUUCUCGCCGAAGUCGUCACGGCAUCCUUUUUGAUCGGAUUACCGGUUAAUCCCAGUGGAGAAUUCUCGUGCUGAUAACGUGUUGUGAAAAAUAACAAAAUAUGAGAAGUGUAUACCUUUCAUUUAUCAAGCACAUAUAUAUAGAAAUGAUUGUAGUCAAGAUGUAACUGAUGUAGUCAACAUGUAACUGAAACUUAACAACUUAGGAGUAGAACUAAGAGGAGAAUUAAAAGGAUAAUUAAGAUGGCAAUAUAUCUGUAUUUAUAACAAAGUACAUAUUUUCACCCCCUCAA